rnacentral:rRNA from 1 species
AUGAGGACGAUAUCAAUAAGAAGGUUGAGCAGUCAUCAUCGUCGAUUCUGUGAUGUGUUACAAUCACGGACGACUCGUGUUAGGCUCGUGCUCUCGGUGCUGAUCAGCUUCCUUUGGUCAGGGGUGUACUACGGACUGAGCCUCAAUGUGGUCAACAUAAAAAUCAACAUGUACAUUGGUGUCGUUGUUAAUUCUCUCGCUGAGAUGCCCGUGUACCUACUCACUGCCAGGCUGCUCCGGCACUUCGGCAGGAAGCCGCUCGGCAUUGGCACAAUGCUUCUCAGCGGUGUCUUUUGCACAACUGCCACCCUCAUUGCCGAUGUCAAUUCCAUGAGGGUGGUUAGGAUGGCAUGUGGGGUUAUAGGGAUCUUUGGGAUGUCAGGGACAUACAACCUGUUGAUAGUAUACACGUCCGAGUUGUUCCCUACGGUGGUGCGGACUGUAGCCAUGGGAUGCACAUCACAAGCAUCGCAAAUGGGUGCCAUACUAGCACCCAUGGUGGUCUUGUUCGGGGAUCGGCUGCCGUUUGCAGUGUUUGGCAUGUUUGGCAUCAUCGGUGGGCUGCUGAUGUUCUGCCUCCCAGAGACUAUGGAUAAGCCAUUGUAA